CCCGCUGUAUCCUUCGAUUUAUUUUAUUUUUCACAUUAUUUUAGGAGUCGUUUAAUUUUCACAUAUGCAUUUUUUUAGGUCAUCGAUCUUUCACGCAUACUAGUCUAAGCAUUACACAUUUAAGGUGGCAUGAGUCAAGUUGAUUGAAGUUGUUUUGAGGGAUUGAGUCUGAAGUCACGUAUUUCGAUGCACAAAGUCAUUCUUCAUAAAAAAAUUUGAAAUGCGUUUCAAGUUUAUUCCAUAAAUUGAUCUUGGUGCUAAGUCUUUCGGCAAGCACAUAUCCCAUUGAAUUGGAAGUUUCUAAGUUUUUCGAGAAUAAUAUUAGCCGAGUCAAAUUUAUAAUUGAAAACCAACUUCGGGGGAAAAUUUUAAUUAAGUUGUGUUUUGGGGUUUAAAAUUGUAAUUUUGAUAUUGUUUUUUUUUUCCAUAAUUCAGAUUUAAAAAAAAAAAUUGUCUAUACGAUCGCAUAGAAAUAAUGUCUACGUGGUCGCAUAGACAUCAACCGAAACAACAAUUUGGGCUAUUUCUAUCACUAUGUGACCGCAUAGGAUACUACUAUGCGGCCGCAUAGUAGUGACUCGGUCAUGGAUUUAAGCCAUGACCGAGUCACUCUCAAUCAAUUUCCCCCCUCUUUGCCCCUCUCUCGCACCUUCACACCAACACACACGGUAAGACACACUUCACACAACACACAAACACACGACUCACACUCAUUCUUCAUUCCAUUGGCACCCUAAAUCAAUACUCCACAUGUUCAUUGCGAAUUCAAGGUACAUUCUCCCAUUCCUUUUCUUCUAUGAUUUUUUUAGUUCGGUUCGAGAUGAACCCAGAAUUUUAUGAGCAUGAUUGCGGAGAAUAGGUAAUAGGUAGUCAAUGGAUUGUGUAUUUUGCACUUGGGUUGUGUUAUGGAUUGGUGGAACAUUAAAUUUUUGGUAUUUUGUAGGGUUUACAAGGAAUGUAUGUUACAUGUUCGAUGAAAUGCCUAAGUAACGAGCUUUAUGCAAUUUUGAAAUUUUUACUUUGGUUAUGUUGUACAAUUGAUGUGUAUAACAACUGGCUAAAGACAGAUCACUUGAAAGGCCGUGAAAAACAUAAAACCCCAUCUUGCAUGACGUAGGCACUACAUAGCCAAGUCACGGCACCCUCCGUCCCCUACUUUACACCAUAAUUUGACACAUCAAACGAAGUCCAAUUGAUUUGAAAUUUGAGUAUAUGGUAGACUCAUUAAAUACUUUCAUAUGCCCGAAGAUUGCCCGGGAAAAUUUCGAUAUUUUUUGAUGAUAUCCGGGGCAGAACAUGCGUACUUGGUCAUGGGUCCAAUUAUUCAAACGUGCAUGUUUAGGCCUAGUUUUCUUCAUUUUUCAUAUUGGCACACUAUUUACACUAUCUUGAAUAUCAUGUUUUGAAGAUUGCACACCAAUGUGUUAUAUAUGCAUGUUGAAGUAAGUUUGGGGGAUUUGUGAAAUAUAUGUCUUGCUAAUCUCAUUCCAUCUCUCGUUUCUCAACAAGAAGUUUAAUGAAUGUUAUUUUUGCACCUUUGCAGGAUGCCUCCAAAAAGAACAUCAAAAGGGAAAGAGAAGGUUGGUUCCGCAUCUGGCACAGCCCGGACUAGAGAGCCCGAAGGGGGUGUCAGGCGAUUUUUAUCUUCAGAUACAGCAGCUCGUUACGCCAAUGUUGUCCACGAUUGGGCACUCGUCCUCGAAAGGCCAGUUAAGUUGGAAGAUUUUCCCGAUUUUGAAUUAGUUUAUUUAAUCUACAAAUGUGGUUGGGAGAAAGUAAUUGAAAGACCGCAUCUGGUGUAUGAAAAUCUGGUGAAGGAGUUCUAUGCCAACUUCAAUACAAAAAUCGACACGCCUGGAUCAGAUCAUCUACAUCAAAUAUGGGUUCGAGGUAAAUGGAUUAUUUUUUCACCCGAAGUGAUUCAUGGCUACUAUCAGCUAGCCUGGAAUAAUGUGAUCCCAGUCCCACAUAAUUUCAACUAGAUUGAUGUUGCAGAAGUAUUAUUAGGACGUGAGAAUUCAUGGCCUCUACCUACUGCAGAUUGGUAUCAGAUUGAUCUCACCGCAUCUAUAGCUAUCCUAUGGUUAUUCAUAUGCCACAACAUCGAGCCCAUAUCCCAUAGGACGAUAUUCACAAAUCAAAAGGCGGGGUUUAUCUAUCAUUUGGUUCGGGGAAACAAGAUUGACUUGGCCACAUACAUCUACAACCAGAUACAGAUUAUAGGCACAUGGGGAGACAGGUACACUUCGCUGAUUUUCUCAAGUUUGAUAAGUGGGAUAUGUAAAGCUGCAGGCAUACAAGUCCAACCUGGGAAAACACCAGAAAAACCAAGUCUAUAUAUCGAGCGCCUUAUACUAGAGGCCCAGGACCGAGCCAGAGUUAAACAUCAACAAAAGUUAGAAAACGAAUGACGUAGACAGCAACAGGCUGAGGAAGGACACGCAGCGGAGAACUUCGAGAUGCCACAAUCUCCUCCACCAUUAGUUGACAUUGAUACCUAGUUAUUGAGGCAGAUGUUUGCCACUAUGACAUGACAGAGUCGAGACAUGCAGAGUCUCCAGCAAUCAGUUGGAGCAAUGAGUACCACCAUCCAGCAGGUACAGAAUGAUAUGGUAAUCACAAGAAACUCACAUCCAAUGCCAGCAGUGAGUCCCUUGCAGUGAGAAGAGAGAUAGUACCUUUGAUGGGCGAUUGUGAAUGUACGUUGGCAGGAUGGAUGGUAUACAAUGGCGAGUGAAUGAGACAUGGGAUCGUUUAGGGAGCUUGGAGACCAGGGUUCAGGCCAUGUAGGUAGAGCGGACCCAGCAGUCUGACAUAUUGAGAGAGAUUUUAUCCCGCCUUCCUCCCCCUCCUGGAGAUGAUGCUGCAGGACCCAGCCUUCCAUCACAGCCACUAUAUUGAUCAGGGAGUCUUGUUUACCCCAUUUUGUUAUUUUGUGUUCUUGUUUUUCUUUUUAAAUUAUGUCAUUUCAACUUUAAUUCUUACAUUGAGGAUAAUGUACUGUAAAAGUUUGAGGGAUGGUGGCAUAAUUUAAAACAAAUAGUCGGCAUGUAAUUAUUCUUCAUUUUCACAGUCCAUCGUUAUUAUUGACUAAUUGUUGCAUGAUGCAUGCUUGAUGAGUGAGUGUUAAUUAUACUUUGGCAUGCUUAUUGGGCUUGAUAGCCUUGCCGACUAUCAUGUGAUUAUUGGAUUGGUAUAAUUCAUAAACUUUGAAUAUAGUGCUGAAUAGAUUAACCAAUACUUGACAUUAUCUAUGCACGCUAUUCAUGCUUGACAUGUUAGGUGAAUGACUGAAUUUUGAACAUAAAGUAGAAAAAGAAAGAUAACUCUCUAUUGAAUUAACAUGUAAAUCACCUUAAGACAGUUUGGAAUUGGUUGAGCUAUUAUAGAGAGCAUUGAGAUAAGUGGGGGCUCCGUGCAUGAAAUUUUAUUGUGUGGAUUACCUAGACCAGUGAGGUGAAGAUUAGGCGAAAAUCUUAAAUUGGGGGUUGGUUUUGGAAACUAAAUGUAUAGAACAAUAAGGACGUAAAAUUAAUUUGUGAGAAUAAAACACUUCUUUUCAUGCCUUUAUGACUCGAGCAAGUAAGCCUGCAAGGGUUUAAAACCUGGUGCCGUAAAGCCAACUGGUUUGGGAGUCACCUGCCUAAAGCUCGUUAAAGGGGUCAUAUAGAAAGCCAGAGGGAAGGAGGUUAAUAAAAAGUCAUCUGAUCGAACCUUUAUAACUCGAAUGAAUAAGCAUGCAAGGGUUUAAAACUUGGUACCCUAAAGCCAACUGGUUUGGGAGUAACGGGCCUAAAACUCAUUACAUGGGUUGUAUAGAAAGCAAAUGAGAUGAUGAUUAAAAAAAAUGGAAAGCGAGAAAAAUAAAAGUGAGACAAUAACAUGAAGAAAAACCUUUAGACAUUUGGUUGAGGAAACUAUACCUUUGAAGCGAGGCAAGUAACCUAUUUUAAUCUUGAGUGUCAAAACAAUCAAACUUGGGAGAGCCUUCACUUGUUGAAAUGUAAACUUGUGAUAGUGAGAUCAAUCCAAACUACGAGAGGGUGAGGACUUCAUGCUAUGUAAACUCCUAAUCUUAAAACACAGCCCCGGGAUAAUUGAGUAAAAAGAAUAAGUUUGGAGGGUUGUGUAUCUCUCGAGCGAGUAAGGAUACAUUUGACCACUUGGGGUCUAGACUCAACCCAUCAUGAAUUUGAUAUGUUGGCAUGAAUUUACACACACAAGUCAAGCAUGCAUUUAACAGGUAAAGGUUGAUGUCAUUUUUGCACUGAUAAAUUUUCAUAAGUCAAAUACUUAGUGCAAUCCUGAGCCAAGACAGGGUAUUAAGCCAUGUUUGUUCAGAAUUAAAUCACUAUCAUGUUUGAAGACAAACAAUAGUUCAAGUUUGGGGGGUUUAAUAAGUGUGUUUUUGCACACUUAUUUAGAUCACAAAUAUGACUUAAUUAUGAGCAAAAUGUUUAAAUUGUGAUUUAAUCUAGUUGAAUUCAUGCAAUGUAGGUAUUUCUAUGAAAAUGAUGGAAUUCAGGAGAAAAGAGCCAAAAAAUGACUAAAAUGGAGCAAAGUGAUAGUUCAGGGAAUAAGGAAGUAAAUAUUCGAUGUUGAACUAAAAGGUAACCCGGGAAUGCAAAAAUGUUAAGUAUGAACUCGAAAGCAUACAAGAUGCUAGGAAGAAGAAGAAGGAAUUGCAAAGGGACUAAAAUGAAGAAGAAUGAAAGUUCAAGGACCAAAAUGGACUUUUUGCAUAGUUGGUAGCACAAUACGACCCCUCUAUGCGGUCGCAUAGAGGCAACCUGAGAAUAAAUUCUCAAAAAAUUUUACUCUAUGCGACCGCAUAGAAAUGUACUAUGCGGUCACAUAGAACAAUUCGGGGGCCGAUUCUGCAGUUUCCUUAUUUCGUCGAAACUCUUAUGGAAACAAAAUUUUUGGGGUCCUAUAUAAACGAAAACUUGACCAGAACGAAAGGGAUGCCAAUUUUAGAAGAAAAAGAGAGAUUUUGAAGGAGAAAACGAAGAGAGAACAAGAGGAAAACAUCGCGACAAUUGAAAAAUUGAUUAAAACUUGAUUCGGGUGAUGACGUUUUCAACUAUUUUUGUAUUUUCUUCUUUUUCACAUGUUAGGCUAGAUUUUUCAUGUACCAGGAGAUCGAUGAACCUUGCAAUUCAAGUUUUGAUUUUUGAUUUGGAGAUUUGACAUAUUUAAGCACAUGUUCCGAAAUUGAAUGAUUUAUACAUUUUUAUUCCCAUAUUAUAAUUGUACACGUAAUUAUAUGAUUUUGGUGGCUUGUUUUAUGCAUUCGAGAGAAGGAAAAUAGGCUUGACAUGGUAUAAAUCAUCAUAGGGUCCGAUAGGGGAUAGAAAUAUACCUCUAUACCUCGUGUGAAUCGUUGAAUAUUCAUGAAAUUACAUGCGUUCCUGUAUGUUAGUAGGGGUAGGUUUGGUAUUGCUCGAGAGAGAUUACUAAAUUAAAAUAGGAAUAUUGAUUCAUCAAUUGUGGGAGUGUGUGUCAAAUUUGCAUAAUUAAAAGUUGAACAAGUGUUGCUUGGGAAUUCGUGAUCCUAGUGCGUUAGUAUUUCAUUAAUUCCAUAAAUUCUCGUAGAUUGCAUCCAGGUCAUUUUGCAUUUAGUAUAAGUUUCUCACUCAUAAUUGCAUCAUAGUUCACAUCUUCCUUAGUUAAAUCACAGUACACACAUCUUGUUUUCGUGUUUCGGUUACGGUCAUAAUAGAUUGAUUUGAACUAAUUCAAUCCUUGUGGGAUCGAUACUUGAACUUAUAAUCCAUUCUACUACUUGUUAAUGAACCGUACACUUGCGGAUGGUGUUAAAUAGAAAGAAGUAAAAUCGUGAACAGAAACCUAGGUUUCCAAAAUUCAAUUAUUCAAUGCUUUUCAUGUAAGGUCAAUGAAUUUAAGAUAAUGUAGAAACUCAUAGAAUAGAAACUCAUAGAAACUUUUAUUAUUCAUGCAAGGUGAGAUUGCAUGGUAUUUUUACUCAUCUCUUAUUUGUGAGAUUGCUUGAUGGUGGUUGUUUUAAAUUCAGAACUUACAGAAGAAAAGGACUCUUUAGAUAUAAUAAAAAUUCCAAUGAGAUUUGCUGCAAUCAAUAUUCCUCUUGUGAUAUUAUGAUGUUCUCUUCUUUCAAAUGAUUUCAUUCCUUCCCAUAUUAGCAGUUCUUUGAAGACAUUUGAAAUGCUGGAUUCAGUAGGAGCUUAUACCGUUCAGUGUGACAACUAUUCAAAGUGGAGGUUCAUCCCUACAAAGCAGAAAUAUGAGCACAUAAGAGAAACUAUAGUUGUACUGCCUUUCUAUUGUGGAACAGCUCUUUGAAUGGCGACCUGAAAUAACAUGUGAUGAUGAAUCAAAUCUUAUUAAAGAUGGAAGCUAAGGUUGGGUGAUAGACAAGCCCGGUAUUCCUCAACCUCCUCAUGGCUAGCAACGAAUUUUACGAAUAAGAGCUAAAUGAGGCACAAGAUUUUCUGAUAUGUGUGUUUGCAGUUCAGUUACAAUUACUUUUAAGGCUUUAAAUAGUGGAAAUGUCAUUCUGACUUUAACUAAGUGGACUCAUUUUUCUUGAUAGGUACUAUGGUACUCCAUCAGGCGAGAGAUUUCAAUCAAUGGUAAAGUUUGGAGGUGAAAUUCAUUUCUGAUGAUCAUUAAUCGUGUUGGAUUUUUUGAUACCCAAUAAAUUCGGGUGAUGAUUUAAAACAGUUGUCGGAUAAUUUAUCGACACCAUGGAUUUGGCUCGACUCAGAAACGACCUAUGCUUUUGGAUGGCCCAAGUUUGGGUUGGAUGGUUUUGGAUUGUGUGGUCCAUUUAUUUGUAAUUAAGUGGUAGCCCAUUUGUAGAAAAGACUAUGGCCCAAUCCAUAUGAGUGAACUAAAGUCUUGCUCUAUAUGUUUUGUUCCUAGCCGUGUCUUUGUGUGUGUGUGUAUGUGUGUGUGUGUGCAAGAGAGCAGAAAUGAGAGAGACAGAUGGCUUUCUUUGGAGUUAGAGAGCUUGGAGCAUUUUUGGUGUCUUCCUUCGUCUUUCUCCUUUGUGGAUUGCAUAUACUGUAGAAUUUAAGACUUAAAGAAAAAUAUUAUUUUAUUUAUAAAAUAGAUUUUAUGAAAAAUAUUAUUUUAUUUAUGAAAUAGAUUUUACACUCUUUUGGAUAGACUUUGAUUAUAUGGAAACACUCCUCACUAACACACUACACUAUGUCUCUCUUUCCCACUUAUUCUAAUUGCUUUCACUCUCUUCACUCACUUUUUCUCUCAUCACUCAUGCAUACAUAGUCACCUUGUAUUUAUAAGUGUUAAUGGAAGUUUGUGGAUGGUUCCAGUAUGGUGGUGAAGAUAAUUCUAGAUACCUCUAGUUUUGGUAAUAAGAUAGUAUUACAAAUGGCUCCUAGAAUAUUCUAGCAUAUAAAAUUGCAUGUGACUAAAAUAAUGGUGCACCAACUAGAAAAUUCUAGAUUUUAAAGUUGGUGAUGAUCUUCAUAUACCACCACCAUAGUCUCCUUUGUAGAGUGAAACUUGUGGCAACCAAGUGUGGAAGUUUUGGGUCGAGCCGAGGUUAAGUGGUGUUCGUUUGGUUGUUUUUAGAGUCCAAAAUCAAGAUUUUUUGAGGGAUUUCCACAACAAACAGUUGCUUAGGUUUUUAACGACACGUUGUAAGAUGCAUGAAUAAUUUUAGAUUUCAGAAUCUUUCGUUUGUUUUAUUUAUUUUGAAUGUUUUCUGAUGAUUUUCCUUUUCCAGUUUUCUGAAUCAACAUCCAGAAUAUCAAGGUGUAACAGAGUCACAGUUUUCAUUUUUCAAAAUCCAGUACCAAUGGAGGAAAAUUAUGAGCGAAAGUCAACUCCUGCUUCGCAUGGGACGAUUGGCACUUUGGUACCAGGUCAGAAGUUGAUGCUUACUUACUGAGAACUUUUAACUAUUCAUAUUUUCUUUUAUACUAGGUGUUUAUGUUAAAUAUACUUCCUUAUUUAUUCUCUAUCGUGUUUUGUUUGUCUGCUGCGUUUGUUUCAAACUCCAGUGCCCAUGGAAGAAAAUUAUGUGCAAAAGCGUCAUGCUACUUCUGCUGCUUCACAUGAGAUGAGUGGCACUUUGGUACUAGGUUUGAAGUUUGAUUCUUACUAACUAUCUAACUGAUCAUAUUUUCCUUUAUAUGAGGGCCUUAUGUUAAACAUAUUUGCUCAUUUAUUCCCUGUCAUAUUUUGUUUCUCUGUCGCAUUUUAUUUAAAAUCCAGCGCCAAUGGAGGAAAAUUAUGAAGGAAAGUGUCAUGCUACUUCUAUUGCUUCACCUGAGAUGAGUGGCGCUUUAGUACUAGGUUUGAAGUUUGAUUUUUGUAACACUUUAAUUAAUUAAAAGAAAAUUCAAGUAUGUCAACAAAAAAAAAAGACGAAAGACUAAAGAAAUGGCAGGCGAUGGAUAAAGUCAUCCAAAUCCAUUUCUGUCAUAAUAUAUAAAUAUAUACAAUCUAAACCAAAACACACACACACUAACACAUAUAAAGAAAAUGAGAGCAGGGAGAGAAAAGGAAGAGAAAAGAGGAAAGAAAAAGGGCAAAAAAAGAGGAAGAAGGAAAAAAAUAGAAAAAUUUCGCCAACGUGUUAGGAAUUAAGUUGUCUAUACUAUUAGGCUUGAAUUCCUCAAUUUUGAAAGGUAAGUAAAAAGUUACUUAUUAUCAAGUUAUGUUUAAUUUUAUAGUUAUUAGAUUGUUAGAUUAAAUUCAAUUUUAUUGAAGGGUAAAGUAUAAUAAAAUAUGAAAUUGAGUAAAAUGAAAGAGAAACUAGUUUUAGUGAUUAAAAAGACUUUAGAAAUCGUCUAAACGUGAAAUAAUUAAGUUGGGUAUCGCUUAUUUAAUUAUUGAAAUUACUUAAAAUAGCUAAUUGUUGAUUUAAAAAUUAUAUCAUAUUUUAGGUAGCGAUAUGAAUAUCGGAACAGCUUAUCAACUGAGUUGAUUUUGGCGUAUAUUGUUCUGUGAGUGGAAAAAUAUAAAUACUUUUAAAAUAUUUAUAAACUAAGUACAUUAAUAAAUUAUGUGCAAUUAUGUGUUAGAUUUUAUGAUUAUUAUACAAAUCUCUUUUAUUAUGAUACAUGUGGAAUUUCAAAGAUUAUUUAUGGCACAUUUGUGACUUGGUAUAUAAGACAUGUGAUAUUAAGAUUUGUUUGGUAUAUGAGACAUGUAAUAUUGAGAUCGACUAGAAAAGUACUCAUGAUUAUAUACUUCAUCUAGUUCACAGAGGAACCUUAGCCGUGUUCUAUCCUACACGGAGGGGUCUUGACCUAACAUUGGUCUUGAUUUGUACAGUUCACAGAGGGGCCU
rnacentral:lncRNA from 1 species